GUGAGGAAUAUUGGGCAAUGGUCGGAAGACUGACCCAGCCAUGCCGCGUGCAGGAAGACGGCCCUCUGGGUUGUAAACUGCUUUUAUCUGGGAAGAAAAAGGCCAUGCGUGGCAAAUUGCCGGUACCAGAUGAAUAAGCACCGGCUAACUCCGUGCCAGCAGCCGCGGUAAUACGGAGGGUGCGAGCGUUGUCCGGAUUUAUUGGGUUUGAAGGGUGCGUAGGCGGCUGAUAAAGUCAGCGGUGAAAGACUUCGGCUUAACCGGAGCAGUGCCGUUGAUACUGGUUGGCUUGAGUGUCGGAGGGGUACAUGGAAUUGAUGGUGUAGCGGUGAAAUGCAUAGAUACCAUCAGGAACACCGAUAGCGAAGGCAUUGUACUGGCCGACAACUGACGCUGAUGCACGAAAGUGUGGGGAUCGAACAGGAUUAGAAACCCCGGUAGUCC
rnacentral:rRNA from 1 species